rnacentral:rRNA from 1 species
CCUUGCACACACCGCCCGUCAAGUCAUGAAAGUCGGUAACACCCGAAGCCGGUGGCCCAACCCUUGUGGAGGGAGCUGUCGAAGGUGGGAUCGGUGAUUAGGACU